UACAGAGGUCUCAAGCGUUGUUCGGAUUCAUUGGGCGUAAAGGGUGCGUAGGCGGCGCGGUAAGUCGGGUGUGAAAUUUCGAGGCUUAACUUCGAAACUGCAUUCGAUACUGCCGUGCUUGAGGACUGGAGAGGAGACUGGAAUUUACGGUGUAGCGGUGAAAUGCGUAGAUAUCGUAAGGAAGACCAGUGGCGAAGGCGGGGUCUCUGGACAGUUCCUGACACUGAGACACGAAGGCCAGGGGGAGCAAACGGGG
rnacentral:rRNA from 1 species